AUUGUGAGCUCGAUGAGUAGGGCGGGACACGUGGUAUCCUGUCUGAAUAUGGGGGGACCAUCCUCCAAGGCUAAAUACUCCUGACUGACCGAUAGUGAACCAGUACCGUGAGGGAAAGGCGAAAAGAACCCCGGCGAGGGGAGUGAAAAAGAACCUGAAACCGUGUACGUACAAGCAGUGGGAGCCUCUUAAUGGGGUGACUGCGUACCUUUUGUAUAAUGGGUCAGCGACUUAUAUUCUGUAGCAAGGUUAACCGAAUAGGGGAGCCGAAGGGAAACCGAGUCUUAACUGGGCGUUAAGUUGCAGGGUAUAGACCCGAAACCCGGUGAUCUAGCCAUGGGCAGGUUGAAGGUUGGGUAACACUAACUGGAGGACCGAACCGACUAAUGUUGAAAAAUUAGCGGAUGACUUGUGGCUGGGGGUGAAAGGCCAAUCAAACCGGGAGAUAGCUGGUUCUCCCCGAAAGCUAUUUAGGUAGCGCCUCGUGAAUUCAUCUCCGGGGGUAGAGCACUGUUUCGGCAAGGGGGUCAUCCCGACUUACCAACCCGAUGCAAACUGCGAAUACCGGAGAAUGUUAUCACGGGAGACACACGGCGGGUGCUAACGUCCGUCGUGAAGAGGGAAACAACCCAGACCGCCAGCUAAGGUCCCAAAGUCAUGGUUAAGUGGGAAACGAUGUGGGAAGGCCCAGACAGCCAGGAUGUUGGCUUAGAAGCAGCCAUCAUUUAAAGAAAGCGUAAUAGCUCACUGGUCGAGUCGGCCUGCGCGGAAGAUGUAACGGGGCUAAACCAUGCACCGAAGCUGCGGCAGCGACACUAUGUGUUGUUGGGUAGGGGAGCGUUCUGUAAGCCUGUGAAGGUGGCCUGUGAGGGUUGCUGGAGGUAUCAGAAGUGCGAAUGCUGACAUAAGUAACGAUAAAGCGGGUGAAAAGCCCGCUCGCCGGAAGACCAAGGGUUCCUGUCCAACGUUAAUCGGGGCAGGGUGAGUCGACCCCUAAGGCGAGGCCGAAAGGCGUAGUCGAUGGGAAACAGGUUAAUAUUCCUGUACUUGGUGUUACUGCGAAGGGGGGACGGAGAAGGCUAUGUUGGCCGGGCGACGGUUGUCCCGGUUUAAGCGUGUAGGCUGGUUUUCCAGGCAAAUCCGGAAAACCAAGGCUGAGGCGUGAUGACGAGGCACUACGGUGCUGAAGCGACAAAUGCCCUGCUUCCAGGAAAAGCCUCUAAGCAUCAGGUAACAUCAAAUCGUACCCCAAACCGACACAGGUGGUCAGGUAGAGAAUACCAAGGCGCUUGAGAGAACUCGGGUGAAGGAACUAGGCAAAAUGGUGCCGUAACUUCGGGAGAAGGCACGCUGAUAUGUAGGUGAAGCGACUUGCUCGUGGAGCUGAAAUCAGUCGAAGAUACCAGCUGGCUGCAACUGUUUAUUAAAAACACAGCACUGUGCAAACACGAAAGUGGACGUAUACGGUGUGACGCCUGCCCGGUGCCGGAAG
rnacentral:rRNA from 1 species